rnacentral:rRNA from 1 species
UACGUAGGGUGCAAGCGUUAUCCGGAUUCACUGGGUUUAAAGGGUGCGUAGGCGGGCAGGUAAGUCCGUGGUGAAAUCCUAUAGCUUAACUAUAGAACUGCCAUGGAUACUAUUUGUCUUGAAUAUCGUAGAGGUAAGCGGAAUAUGUCAUGUAGCGGUGAAAUGCUUAGAUAUGACAUAGAACACCAAUUGCGAAGGCAGCUUACUAUGCGAUUAUUGACGCUGAGGCACGAAAGCGUGGGUAGCAAACAGG